AGUGGUAGCUUAACGGUUAUGAUGUUAGACUACUGAUCGAAAGGUCGUCGUGAGGUCAAAUCCCAGCAGCACUA